UCUUCUUCUCUCUUUUUUCUUAUUCUCUUCUUCUCUCCGGCGCUUUCUGAUUAUUGAUUAUAGGAAAUCAGAGAAUAAAUCUGUAUAGAUAAUAAGGGUGAUGGUGUAAUUGUUGAUGUACGAAGUAGAACAAGUAGGAGUUUUAGUUUCUCUGUGUGAGGUGAUGAAUCAUGGAGAGAGGGUUAGGGGUUAGGGUUUAUUCUUGAGGUGAAGAAAUCAUGAGAAGAUGAUGGGUAUGUUGAGAUCCCCGGUGAUUCAUGGUGGUGAUGUUAAAUCAAAUGUUGAUUCAACUCAGCAGAAAUGGAGGGGAAACCCCUUGUUCUGAAUGUAGUGAGAAAAGCAGAACAAUUGCUUGUGAAUGUGGUGUUAGAGUAAUUCACUAUCUCUGGUGAAACUAACUUUCUCAAGUAGUAAGAAGGAAGAAUGAUUUUACAGCUUUAUAGGAUAAACUGAAUUGUGCACAUCAAGUUUCAAUGUCCUGUUAUUGGUAAACUUUUUGCUGCUGAAGAAAGCUCUGUUCAGAUUGGUCUUAAGAAGUAUGACCCUCAAAAGGACAUUCAGUGGUUCAGUGUAGUUGCCAUAUAUUCCCCGCCUGAAGAUGAAAUUUUGCAGGAUUGGAUAUGACAAAGGCAUACAUGCUUGAUACACAAGAGGCAGUGGAGUCAAAAUUCAAAAAAUGGGAAAAGACUGCUCCUUUUGGUUGGGAUGGUAAGCUUCUAAUAUCAGAAUACUUGUUUCUAUAAUAUAUAUAAGCAUACUAUAUAUACUGUUAGGAUUCAGGGAAUGAGCAGAUGAUGGUCCAAGAUGAUGCUCUAACCUGAUAGCGCGUGACAUGGGAUUUUGAUGGCCAUAUGAUAUUACUUGCUUUCUCAGAAUCAGUAGAAUUUGGCUCUAUGCACUUUGUGUCGAGGCUUCUGACAUUGGGGUGGCAAGACUAAGGAAGAGGAAUUCAACACAGGACCCCUUUCUGUUCUUAUGAUGAGUGUCAAAAAUAACACUCAGGCACCUAAAGAAGAAAUGCUCUUGUCUGGUCUUAAAGAAAGCAGCUGAGGGCGAACAAAGAUAACCUAUCCACUCUCAUGGUAUGCUUAGUUACAAAAUAUGUUCAUGAUAUUUGUGAUACAGAGAAUCUGUAUUCCCUUAGGACAUAGGAAUGAACUUGUAAUGAUUUAAGUGAGAAUGAGCUCAACUUGUGAAGUUUUUAUCUUUAUCUAUUCCCUUAGAAUUUUUUUGAUACUUCAAAAAUUUGUAUUCUUUUUUGAUAUGAUA